GUACACUCCUACGGGAGGCAGCAGUGGGGAAUUUUGGACAAUGGGCGAAAGCCUGAUCCAGCAAUGCCGCGUGAGUGAAGAAGGCCUUCGGGUUGUAAAGCUCUUUUGUCAGGGAAGAAACGGUGAAAGCUAAUAUCUUUUGCUAAUGACGGUACCUGAAGAAUAAGCACCGGCUAACUACGUGCCAGCAGCCGCGGUAAUACGUAGGGUGCAAGCGUUAAUCGGAAUUACUGGGCGUAAAGCGUGCGCAGGCGGUUUUGUAAGUCUGAUGUGAAAUCCCCGGGCUCAACCUGGGAAUUGCAUUGGAGACUGCAAGGCUAGAAUCUGGCAGAGGGGGGUAGAAUUCCACGUGUAGCAGUGAAAUGCGUAGAUAUGUGGAGGAACACCGAUGGCGAAGGCAGCCCCCUGGGUCAAGAUUGACGCUCAUGCACGAAAGCGUGGGGAGCAAACAGGAUUAGAAACCCGGGUAGUCCCAUGAU
rnacentral:rRNA from 1 species